AAAAAAAAAAAGAAAAAAAAAGAAGAAAAUUAAGUUUGAAACCUGAAAUUAACCUCUUGGUGAGAAUGGAAAUGGAAUGAAAUUUCACUCCUUUCCAGAUGCAGCUUCUGAAGAGGAGACCUGGCAGCCUGGCGAGCAUCCAGCUCGCUCACGCACCUCUUUCUAGUCCCGUGGCCAUCAGUGAGCUUCUCCGGGUCCCUCUUGCCACUUCUCAGAUGUUCCUUUCUGUCCUAGGAGAUUUGUAAAACCAGAUACUUGGGAUAUGAUUCUCUAGUGGAGAGUUAGGCCUUUAGGUCUCUAAAAAUUGCCAUUCAUGACCUUCGGGCCUAGGGUUUCGAGAUGAAUGUGCAGUGUGUGUGGCCGCUCUGUGUGUCCCGCUUCCACCAGCUUGGCAUUAAGCACCCGGAGCAUCGCCUGCUGGGCAGGCCUGGCCAGGGGUGUGCCCCUCCAUUCGGGGGCUCAGGGUCAAGGCAGAUUCCUGGCUUGGCUUUCCUGCUGAUUUCCUCAUGAAGAUGCCAAUUCAUAUUUAAACAUUUGUUAUCAGUGGUGGUGUUUGUGUGCUGAUUUCUCUAGGUAGAGGCUGUUGUUUUAGGAGCCAGGUUUGCUGGGCCAGCUCAGACCUCUUACAAAGUGAAGAUACUAAUGAUCAUCUUGCAAGGUGCCAUAGUGUCGUGAGGGUGAACUGAGGCAGUGGCUAUGCAUGGUGUCUGCAGCAGCGUUUCUGAGGCUCCAAGAAUAUCAGUUCCUUUUUCAGAAAUGGGGCCAGAUUCUUGGGAUGUAGACAGUGUUCUCUUCACGGAUGCUAACAACUUAUCAAAGCUAUAAUAUAUUAAGUAUCUCUGUUAUAAUAGGAUAGAUGCAUUCCUAAAAAAAAUGUGUUAAGCAAAAAUCAGAAAAUAAAAAUAACAAGCCUUGAGGAAAAGCAUAGUUGGGAUGAACAUUUAAACCUAUACCCCAGUAAUAAUCCUCAUAAUGAUACUGACAAAGUUGAAAAGAUAUGUUAAAUUCCUAAUAAAUAUCCCAGUAAAUAUAGGAUUACACACACACACACACACACACACACACACACACACACACACUUCUGCCUGUGAGAAGGUAGUGAAUAGGAGGAGUAAUGCAGGUCCAAUUCCAAGGCUGCUAAAUAUGGAGACAAGGAUAAAAAAGCACAAAGAUAGGAAGAACUACCUGACAGGGGUUCUGAGUCAGCAUUUGUCCAGCUGAGCCAAGAGGAAGACUGGGGUGAAUGGACACGCAUACCAUAUUCCUCCAAGGUUGCGUUUUUGUUUUUGUUUUUGUUUUUUGGGGGGUUUUUUGUUUGUUUUUUUGUUUUUUGAGACAGAGUCUCACUCUGUUGCCCAGGCUGGAGUGCAGUGGCACGAUCUCGGCUCACUGCAAGCUCUGCCUCCCGGGUUCACACCAUUCUCCUGCCUCAGCCUCCCGAGUAGCUGGGACUACAGGUGCCCGCCACCUUGUGCCCGGCUAAUUUUUUUUGUAUUUUUAGUAGAGACGAGUUUCACCGUAUUAGCCAGGAUGGUCAUGUUUUUGUUCUUGUUUUUGUUUUAGAGACAGGGUCUCCCUCUGUCACCCAGGCUGGAGUGCAGUUGCACAAUCACAGCUCACUACAGCGUCAACCUUCCAGGUUGAGGAUCACUCAAUACUCAUGCCUCAGCCUCCCAUGUAGCUGGGGCUACAGGGGCACACCACCACUCCUGACCCAUUUUUUAAAAAUUUUUUUGUAUAGGUGGGGUCUCACCAUGUUGCCCAGGCUAGCCUCGAACUCCUGGGCUCAAGCAAUCCUCUCACCUUGGCCUCUCAAAGUGCUGAGAUUAUAGGUGUGACCCGCCGUGCCCGCCUUUCCUCUGAGUUUUGUUGCAUUCAGGCAGCUCCUGGCUGAGGCAAAACAUUAAAAUGCAUAUGGAAAUGCAGGCUGGGAAAAUGCUUUGAAACCAAUGCAAUUUCUAUGUUAAGGGGACAUUCCCUGAUUCUUUCAGGUAAUUUGCAUUCUAGACUGUGACAUUCUGUAUCUCAACUGAUAAAUAAGCCUGUUUGUCAUCCUGCUAGAUGAGAACCUGAUAUAUGAAACCUUUUUUUUUAACGUGGUUAAAAAAAAACAUAAAAUUUACCAUCAUAAUUAUUUUUAAAUGUACCAUUUGGCAGCAUUAAGUAUAUUUAAACUCUUGUGAAACAAAUUUCUAGAAUGUUUUCAUCUUGCAAAACCGAAACGCUGUAUCUAUUAAACAACUCCCCUUUUCUCCCUCUCUUCAACCCUGGUAACCAUGUUUUUAUGAAUUUGACUACUUUAGAUACCUCAUAUAAGUCAGGUCAUACAGUAUUUGUCUCUUUGUGACUGGCUUCACUUAGCAUAAUGUCCUCAAAGUUUAACUGUGUUGUAGCAUGUAUCAGAAUUUUAUGAAAUAUGAAGUCUUAGACACCCCAAAGUACAUUUUCACCCCAAAUGUAUUUGAACAGUGUUAGGCUGGGGGUGGGAGGCGGGAGUCCUUCUUGCUUUGCCUGUGCAAUGAAAUGAAUACCCUGCUGUGUUUAUCUCCUUGUCAUGUGAUUCUCCCAGGUUGUUUCUUCAAGUUUCUGAGCCAAACUUAACUCUAAAAAGCAAAUAUUCUGUGUUAAAAGACAGUAAUCAACACGGGAGCUACAUCAGACAUCAUAGGACAAAUUGUCAUCUAGAAGAGUAUAUUUUUAAUGCAGGAGAGUUUUUAAAACCCAGAUUGGUGUGAUUUCAUUCCAGAGAGCUCAGACAUAUGCUCAGCAAGUCUUGCAGAAGGAAUGUCGUCCCAAGUUUGCCAAGACAUCAAUGGCGCUGUUAUUUGAGCACAGGUAUAGCGUGGACUUACUCCCUUUUGUGCAGAAGGCCCCCAAAGACAGUGAAGCUGAGUCCAAGUACGAUCCUCCUUUUGGGUUCCGGAAGUUCUCCAGUAAAGUCCAGACCCUCUUGGAACUCUUGCCAGAGCACGACCUCCCUGAACACUUGAAAGCCAAGACCUGUCGGCGCUGUGUGGUUAUUGGAAGCGGAGGAAUACUGCACGGAUUAGAACUGGGCCACACCCUGAACCAGUUCGAUGUUGUGAUAAGAGUGUUGAUUUCAACUGGCUUCAAGCAAUGGUAAAAAAUGAAACCCUGCCAUUCUGGGUACGACUCUUCUUUUGGAAGCAGGUGGCAGAAAAAAUCCCACUGCAGCCAAAACAUUUCAGGAUUUUGAAUCCAGUUAUCAUCAAAGAGACUGCCUUUGACAUCCUUCAGUACUCAGAGCCUCAGUCAAGGUUCUGGGGCCGAGAUAAGAACGUCCCCACAAUCGGUGUCAUUGCCGUUGUCUUAGCCACACAUCUGUGCGAUGAAGUCAGUUUGGCGGGUUUUGGAUAUGACCUCAGUCAACCCAGAACACCUUUGCACUACUUCGACAAUCAGUGCAUGGCUGCUAUGAACUUUCAGACCAUGCAUAAUGUGACAACGGAAACCAAGUUCCUCUUAAAGCUGGUCAAAGAGGGAGUGGUGAAAGAUCUCAGCGGAGGCAUUGAUCGUGAAUUCUGAACAUAGAAAACCUCAGUUGAAAAUGCAACUCUAACUCUGAGAGCUGUUUUUGACAGCCUUCUUGAUGUAUUUCUCCAUCCUGCAGAUACUUUGAAGUGCAGCUGAAGUUUUUAACUUUUAAUUUAAAAACACACAAAAAAUUUUAGCUCUUCCCACUUUUUUUUCCCUAUUUAUUUGAGGUCAGUGUUUGUUUUUGCACACCAUUUUGUAUAUGAAACUUAAGAAUUGAAUUGGAAAGACUUCUCAAAGAGAAUUGUAUGUAACGAUGUUGUAUUGAUUUUUAAGAAAGUAAUUUAAUUUGUAAAACUUCUGUUCGUUUACACUGCACAUUGAAUACAGGUAACUAAUUGGAAGGAGAGGGGAGGUCACUCUUUUGAUGGUGGCCCUGAACCUCAUUCUGGUUCCCUGCUGCGCUGCUUGGUGUGACCCACGGAGGAUCCACUCCCAGGAUGACGUGCUCCGUAGCUAUGCUGCUGAUACAGGGUCUGCGAUACAGUGGCGUGAGGCCUGGGCUGGUCGGAGAAGGGCACAACCCUUCUCUGUUGGUCUGCCUUCUGCUGAAAGACUCAAGAACCAACCAGGGAAGCUGUCCUGGAGGUCCCUGGUCGGGGAGGGACAUAGAAUCUGUGACCUCUGACAACUGUGAAGCCACCCUGGGCUGCAGAAACCACAGUCUUCCCAGCAAUUAUUACAAUUCUUGAAUUCCUUGGGGAUUUUUUACUGCCCUUUCAAAGCACUUAAGUGUUAGAUCUAACGUGUUCCAGUGUCUGUCUGAGGUGACUUAAAAAAUCAGAACAAAACUUCUAUUAUCCAGAGUCAUGGGAGAGUACACCCUUUCCAGGAAUAAUGUUUUGGGAAACACUGAAAUGAAAUCUUCCCAGUAUUAUAAAUUGUGUAUCUAAAAAAAAGAAACUUUUCUGAAUGCCUACCUGGCGGUGUAUACCAGGC
rnacentral:sRNA from 1 species